rfam:Dipodomys ordii contig_40439, whole genome shotgun sequence.
GGUGGCUCAGUGGUAGAGCGCUUGCCUUGCAUGCAAGAGGCCCUGGGUUAGAUUCUCCAGCACCA